rnacentral:rRNA from 1 species
UACAGAGGUCCCAAGCGUUGUUCGGAUUUACUGGGCGUAAAGGGUGCGUAGGUGGUUGGGUAAGUCUGAUGUGAAAUCUCCGGGCUCAACCCGGAAAUGGCAUUGGAAACUACCUGACUAGAGGGUUGGAGGGGGACUGGAAUACUUGGUGUAGCAGUGAAAUCCGUAGAUAUCAGGAGGAACACCGGUGGCGAAGGCGGCUGCCUGGACCGAUAUUGACGCUGAGACGCGAAAGCGUGGGGAGCAAACAGG